AUCGUGGCCUUGUCUUUUGCUUUUGUGCCACUCAAAUAUUUGAUUCUUUUUGCGUUCGUGGAGUCUUUCACAAGCAACAUGCCUCUGAGGAAAAUUGGCAGUGAAAGAGACCUUCGAAGGGUUAGGGAGUGGUGGAUCAGGAUACCAGCAGCCCCCGUGCAACUUAUCAAACCUGACGACAAAAAAGACAAGAGUAAAAAACCUAUAUUCAAAAAGGAGAAGAAGCAUGAAGAGUAGGAGUUAAUGUAUGUACGGUCCUUUAUUGCUGUAUUUCAAUGAAGAUAGACGGCACAAAGUGAAUGAAAA
rnacentral:misc_RNA from 1 species